CGGAACGGAGCAAUCCGGUCCGC
rnacentral:snRNA from 1 species